GAAUUCUACCAUAUACCCAAGGCAUACAGACAUAACAUGAAAACUCCCUGCCAAAAACAAAACAAAUUCUACUUCAUAGACACUGAGAAAAAGCAGCCAUCUAUGAUCCAGAAAAAUGGGAACUUACCAGACAUUGAAUCUGCCAGCACAUUGACCUUGGAUGUCCCAGUCUCCAGAACUAUGAUUAAUGUUGUUAUGGAAGCUGGAGGCUGAGAAGUCCCAUUAUCUGCCACCAGUACGAGCCAGAAUCCCAGGAAAACUCAUGGUAUAAUUUCAA